UAUAAAAUUAAUGUUUCAGUUUAUUUUUCAGAUUACAUGCCUUUCUUUAUUAAAGAGAUGCUGGCACAGCUCCUAAAAUAAGCUUUGUAGUACUGUACCUUUGAAGAGUGGUGGAGGAUGCUAAUGGAUAACCUUCCGAAAGUUGUGACUUUUGGUACCCUUACUGUGGGCAGUGCUUACUAGUAAAAUUGCUAAACAUUGUUUAGCGAGUAAUGUUGUUUAGGCUUCCACAACUGACUCUCUUCUAUCAAACAGCAGUGUUUCAAGUGUUUGUGAGCUCCUCAAAUUGACUUUCAAAAAAGUCUGUCUUUUGAGAUGCUUGUGCUAAACGAUAGCUCUUAGCUAAUUUUGAGUAUAAAUACUUUAAACUGGUGUAGCUUCCUGAAAGGGGGUGAUCUGAAAUUUACAGGGGUGGGAGAGGGAAAGGGAGAGAGAGGUUCUAGUCCACUGACCGGGCGUGGGGGAGGAGACUCAAAUCUGUUAAUGUGCAUUUUUUCCAGAACUUUUCUCAAUUACCUUUUCCCCUUGCCCCGAUCUCCCCCAUUUAACACUUGGAAGGAAAAAUAAUUUUAUUUUUCCUGGCCUCAUUUCCCAAAGUGGUUAGACCAGGGGGGACAUUGUUUUGGAUUGGGUUUUUGAGAGGAACACCAGUGGUACUUCAUUCAGUGCAAUUGAAUUCCCUAAUCCCAUUUUACCAGACCCCCUCCAAGAGAUCCUAAGCAAGCUUAAACUGUUUUUAUACACCGUCCACCGAAACCGUAAUCAUCUUUGCUCAGAUGGGGAAGCAUCCUUUUUAAAACUUCUCCCAAAAGGAACAGAGAAUCCACAGUUGUGUAGGUGCAUGAUGCUACCAAACACAAACUGAUGACAAUUUACCAAAAAAAAGGAGAAAGAAAACUGUAAAAAGUUUCGUCUGUGAGAUUUUCAAGAGGCUAUUUAGAUCUUGGCUUUUCCUUGGCAACCACCCGAUCGUGGUAGAAUAUUUUUUCUGGUGUUCGUGAGCCUGCGAUUAUGCACUUGAAAAGUAGUGGCCCGCUCCAUAACUGCAUUUAGCCAGCCUUUCUGCAGUGCGUAACUGUGAGGAACGUAGUACCGCAAAUGGCAAUGGACGUUAGGACCCGGAUGUAAUAUUCCUGCUUGCUCCAAGAUUCUCAUUGCCGACUGCAUCCAGGUAGGUAACAAGCGAUCUACUCUCAAUUGGUGACUUGCUAUGUACUUUUAUCCUUUGGGCAUUCUGACAUCACACUUCUGACGUUGAAAUUACAGUGCAGCACUCCGAAACUGGUGCGGUGAAGCUUAGCUUGCCUCUCAAGCCUGCGUGGGUUCUGGGUUAGAGCUUGUAACUUGCAAUUCUCAGACCAACUGCCAACCUGAUUCCCUUGUACGUCUGACUUCAGUCUUUGUGACUUCCUUUAGUUGCAUCGCAACUCUGAAGAGAAAACUGAACAACUUCAGUUUUUGUGGGGAAGAGGGAGCGUAAUUUGAGAGAUUCAUUACCAGCAUCAGGUGCUCACUGCACCCGGAUGCUAAUUUUCAGUUCGGGCUAGCUUUAGGAAGCAGUGAGCUGAUCCACCCACUGAUCAGCUCCGGGUAGAAAUUUCGGUGGACCACCUUGGUGUGAUGGUUUCUCUAGGAUGAGCGAAAUGAAGCUGUAUAGUUCACUGUAAUGUGCGGUUUUUUUAUUUGUUUGUUUACAGUGGGCUCCAUGGGCAUAGCACUCUUCCGUCAUGACUUGUGCUCAAAUGAGAAUCUGCUAACUUGAAGAGCAUUCAGGUUUUGUGAAUUACCCAAAUGUGUCUCUCUACCCUAUGGGGUUGAGGGCGGGGGAGGUGAUGGUGUGGCCUGCUCAAUUGCAUACAUGCCGGGAAGCGUGGCUUCCUAGCUUGUAAAACCUCGGCGCACUCUGUAGAGUGAAUGCGAAUAUUCUUCAGAGUGGCACUUGGAAUUCGGUUCAUGUAGUGGCAGGAACGUGAUGGUUCUAAACUCUUAUAUGACUGGAAGCAUACCUUACAUAGCCUAUUGUUUAGGAAGUUUGGACUCAAAAAGCUUUUGUAUCAGCUGUGUUCUGUUGCUCCAGAACUCCACUGUCUGAAGUCGUGACUUCAGUCUCCCGACUAAUGCAUAAGAAACAGGUUUCAUGUGUAAGUAAGGUUUCCUGCUUUGCAGCGGCAAAGUCAUGCCGACUUUGCUCGCUUACUGGUGAACAUUUGGUUGACUCUUCCACUGUAUUGUCUAGGAUAAUGGCCUGCUCCCAGGCGAACAGUUUUCAAGCCGGGGCAGACUGAUGUUCUGUCUAGUUCUUCCAGUAAAGUAAUUUCUGCACUUCUGGUACCUUUAAUGAAUGGCUUAGUUCACUUGAGUAAAUGACAUAAUGUAGCUUGUACUCUCUGCUCAAUAAGUGACAGUGAUGUCACUAAAAAUCUGACUCUGAACCACUGACCAGAGUCAUCCUGUGAAUAAAGUUAAUUAAAUCGGUGGCCAGAUGUCUGCUACCGUAUUUCAGCACUUGGACUUUUAGAAGUGUGAGCUCAGGGUUUUUUUGUUUUUGAUUUUGGUCUUGUUUUUGGAUUGUUUUUUUUUUCUUUUUGGGGGGAGGGGGUCAGGUAUGCUCAAAGAGCAUACAUCUGACCCCAAAAGACAAAUUUAAGGAGCACCUUGGAGGGGCAUGUAUGGUCACUUGGCUUUGUUCUGUGUACAAGCUGAUCAGGUUUAUUUCAGAACAAGCAACUUGGGGGUCUUGUAAACUAGCUUUCACUUGCCUGCAGCUGCGAAUCGUGAGUCUUAGUACAGUAGUUAUUUUUUGAAAGCAAAGGAGGUCUGCUCUUCACAUGUUGGAAAUGAAUGGGUUUCAGUAACGGAUUACUGAAGUGCUUGCAUUGUGUUUCAUAAUCUUGGUUUAUUUUUAACGUUGAAAUCAUGCUUUUUAAAAUUUAAAGUAUCAGAAACUCAGAGGUGUGAUGCCAGAAUGCAUUCGCGUACUUAGGCCCUCAGAUCAGAUACUGGUGCUGUCUGAAAAGAUGAACUGUAACUGUGCCAUUACUUGUACUCCAAACCAACGAAGUAUGCCUCAUGGUUGCAGUCCCUCAACAGUUAAAAAGAUGCGACUAGUUUGUUUUGGGUUCUUCUGGACUUCAGCCUUGACAGAGGUUUGCAUGUCUCCUGUUUGUUAAUCAUUGCUAGCUGCAGUGACAUGGGUUUUUCAAGACCUGUUGGUUACUUUUCCCUAAAUGCCACCCAAAAGACUGAGAGCCUGCUUGUGACACAUGAUGGUGUUCUCUGGGCAUCUUUUGUCUGGGUCUCAACUGGUGGGUUUGUUCCAUCAGCUAGUGCCUUUCUCAGCAGUGCCCUUCUAGUGACAAAUGGGCAGAUUGGCUACUCAUUUAUGUCAUUGCUGCUAGGUAAUGAUUGGCAAUUUAAAGACCUGACUGUGAACGUCCCUCCCUUCCCCUAACCCUCCCCCCCCAAAAAAAAACACACAUCCUUAUGUAUAAACCAUCACUUUGAACACCAGUGCUGACCUGUUUGGAGGUGAAAGGACUGAGGACAAUCUGGAGAGGGGAAGGCUGCACGAAGAUAUAGUAUCCCUUAUAGAUGGUACGUGUGCAACAGGGAACAUUUUAUGGUUGUACAGCAACUGGGAGUUGAGGCAGAUCUGGAGGAGCUGGGUUUAAGGCUGAACUUGGGCUUGUGCACCCCGGGCCUACCAGUAGUGUUGUGGAGAGGGGAUACCUUCCUGACAAGAAAGUCGGGUCUGCAAGUAGCUGCUAUUCUGGCAUGGUUUAUUUACCCUUCCAGUAUAAAAUUCUAAUGAGGACAAGGAAGGGAGAGUAGGCAUGACUGUGCAGGAGGAAGAGGCAACAGCUGCUGUGCUGUGGACUUCUUUAGAAUGGGGGUGAGGCUCUGGGCAGUAGACCUGUUGGGGCUUGGCCUUGGAAGAAGACCAUCUGGGAUUGGGAGGUGGGAAGAUGCUUUGGUUGGAAAGCAGAAGCCAAGAGUUGCCAAAGCCAAGCUUUUGUGGUAGGGUAAAUGUUGUCACCUACCCUCACAUAAGGGAUAGUAUAAUCUGGGCUGCAAUCAAACUUCAAUGUGCUCAGACUGGUGAAGCUCGCAGCUAAGGCUUUGGUAUUUAAAACGUAGGUGCAGGUCUUCCAAUUUAAAUCACCUGACUACUUUCAUGUCUUUCAUAGGAAUUUAUUUAAACUAGAUUCCUUCUGCCCCCCACCCCCGUAAGUUUCUUCCUCCUAUUUCCCUAUGCUGUAAUUCUCCCCUGAUUUAUUAAUGUGUGUUUUUUGAAUUUUACCCUUUAAACAUAAAGUGAUUAGCGCUUUUUCAGAACUCUGUUGCACCCAUGUCUUUUAUAAUAACUUUCCCUUGUUAUCCUUUAGGUAAGGAUGAUUGGUGUUGGCUGAAGUCAAAGUGCUCAUCCAUUUGAGUUAUGUAGCCCUUCGGCAUGAGCACACCCAGGAUGUGAACAUGUGGUGGCCCAGCCUACAAAGCAAGUAGAAUCAAGUGAACAGUGUUUUGGAGGUCCACGGAACCAGUCGGGAUGAACCAGAAGUGAUGAGCAUCCAGCUUAUUUUUAAUAAAAGAUAAAUUUCUGAAUCUA